UAGGCCUGUAGCUCAGCUGGUUAGAGCGCACCCCUGAUAAGGGUGAGGUCGGCAGUUCAAGUCUGCCCAGGCCUACCAC
rnacentral:tRNA from 2 species